CAUGUUGGCCCUUAGAAAGAAAAGAAUGCUCUAUUCACAGUUUGAAUGUCUUGGCCCUUCAUAGAGUAUUAAUAGUAUGAAUGAGGGAGGGUGACCCAGUGAUAAGGAGUAAGGCUGUGAAAUCUUAACCACACUUUGCAGCUGUUUGAUCAUGGAUCUCACAUGAGAUGGCAAAGAGGUCAAGACAAAAAUUCUGCAUUUGGGAAAAGAAUAACACAUGGACUUCCUCCUACAGGUUCAUAUGUGGAAGGGACUUGCCUUGUACCAGAUAAGACUUUGGACUGUGGGCUUUUGAGUAAAUGCUGAAAUGAGUUAAGACUUUGAGAGAUUGCUGAGAAGGCAUGAUUGGUUUUGAAAUGUGAAGACAUGAGAUAUGGGAGGAGCCAAGGGAUGAAUAAUAUGGUUUGGCUGUGUUCCCACCCAAAUCUCAUCUUGAAAUGUAGCUCCCAUAAGCCCCAUGUGUUGUAGAAGGGACCCAGUGGGAGGUAAGUGAUUCAUGGGGGUGGCUUUUUCCCAUGGUCUUCUUGUGAUAGCGAAUACAUUUCAUAAGAUCUGAUGGUUUUCUAAAGGACAGUUCCCCUUCACUUCUCCUUCCUGUUGUCAUGUGAAGGACAUGUUUGCUUCCCCUUCCACCGUGAUUGUAAGUUUCCUAAGGCCUCCCCAGCCAUGCUGAACUGAUUAUAGGACUGUGUAUGUCCUACACACACAUUAUAUGUCCUACACGCACAGUGAUGAGGAGUGACAAAAUGAAGACUCCAGAAUCCUCUUUAUCAGAUCCUGAAUGUGCACUUUCUGAAGUGAAGUCCACUAUGUGCUGGGCACACAGAGAAUAGAGCAUGAAACAAAAGCAACAUGACCCUGCCCUCACCAAGACUACAGGGAGUGAUGGAGCAUACAACUUUGUUUCAGAAUGCAAUUCAGAUCUUCCCUUUCGCUUGGCUUCUUAAAACUUCUUUUGAGGAUGGUAAAAUUUCGUGUUAUAUUAAAUUUCAUCCUGUAACUGAUACUCUGGGAUGAUGUUGGCCAAUAACUAGCAAGACUUUAAAUAAUCAACUAGUUUAGGCAUUGCUUAGCACGCUCCAGCUGACUUCACAAGUAAAACCAUGUGAAGAAAGAAGGUUUUCAGGUAACACAGAUGGAGGUGAUGAUCUUUCUCAUUUUGUGGAAAAUAUUAAUUUCUCAUUUUUUAUUCACUGACAAUUAGUAAAAUUCCUUACUCUACCUAAUAUGUAGACUUCUGAACUAUGUAAGUAAAACUUUAUAGUAACUGAAAAGUUUGGGUAUUGUAUUUUCUUGGAGAAAAUGUUAGCUUCCCUCUGUUACUUUUAAAUGUUAAACUUUUAAUGAAUUUCAUCAAUGUAUAAUAAUGGGCAUAAUGAUCCACUCUGAAAUAUUUACUGUCAUUUUGAAUUUAUUCUUGAGUCAUCACAAACGUGUACAUCUCUUAUACCUUCAUGGAUGUUAUUGGUGAGAUGAUCUCUUGUUGUCAACACCUUGAGGAUAGGGACUUAUUCAGGCUCGCCUCUAGCAAGUGCUAAGUGCCUGGGAACACAUAAUAAAUAUUUCAUGAUAGGAGGAUGUUAGAAUAAGAGGAAAAACCAGAUUCUUACCCAAAUAAAUAAUAUUUAUUAUAUUCUUAUUUGUAUAUCAUUGUAACUGUAAAAAAAAGUUGCCUAGGGAUUUGUUUUAUUUGUACAAAUACUUGUUUUUUGUAUGUAAGAGUGCCAAAUAUAAAACUGCAUAACAUUUAGAAAUUACAGAAAUGUGUAUAUAUUUAUAUAGAGACAAGAAAAAUAAAAUUUUCAUUCUAUCAUAUAGAAAUAACUACAUUUGAAGUUAUUUCCCUCCUAUAUGUAAACUUUUACAUAGUUAAGUUUAUACAAUAUAUUUGCUUUCAAAACUCAUUUUCCAAUUAAACAUUAUAUCCAUUAGAAUGUUCAUGACAUCCUUUAUUUAUGCCUUAAAAUUUUUUUAAAUACGGUAAUGUAUAUGUCUACAACCAUUUCUGUUAUCUAAAAUGUGGGGCUAUUAUUAAUAAUAGUAAUUGCAGUCAUUUCCAGAGAGAGUUUGUUCUGUGCUAGACAUUGUGUACUUUUUACAACUAAUUUGUUAGGCUAGUUACUACAUUUAAUUUCAAGUGAAAGAGUUUAACAGAAGUUAAACAGGCCAGGCGCGGUGGCUCACACCUGCAAUCCCAGCACUUUGCGAGGCCGAGGUGGGCGGAUCACUUGAGGUCAGGAGUUUGAGACCAGCCUGGCCAACAUGGUGAAAACCCAUCUCUACUGUUAACACAAAAAUUAGCAGGGCAUGGUUGCAUGCACCUGUAAUCCCAGCUACUUGGGAGGCUGAGGCCGGAGAAUCGCUUAAGCCCAGAGGUGAAGGUUGCAGUGAGCCAAGAUUGCGCCAGUGCAGUCCAACCUCGGCAACAGGGCAAAGACCGUCUGCCCCUGCAAAAAAAAAAAAAAAAAAAACUAAAAGGAAAAAAAAAAGUUAAACGUGUUUCAUAGUGGAGUCAGAAUUUGAACACAGGCUUUACCUCAUUCUCAAUAUCAGUCUAUUAACCACUUUGCUGUUUUUGCUCCAUAUUACAUAUAUCAUGAUAUGUAAAAUAUUUGCUCCAUAUUACAUAUAUCAUGAUAUGUCGAUAAAAAUCUUUGUGGUAUAGGCUUUGCACACAUUUUCGAUUAUAUCCUGAGAUAUAUUGUCAGAAAUAGAAUUACACAUUCAAAGGGUGAACCCUUAUUUGAGGCUUUUAAUACAUUUGUUCAAAUUAUUUUCAAAGUGUGUUCAUCAUAUUCACAUUGCUAUCCCAGUGUAGUGGAUCUUAGUAUUGGUUAUUUUCACUGUAUUUGAUAUUUGUUAAUUAGAUAGGACAAAAUGUAUUUUAUGGAUUUAACUUUCAUAUUUUUAAAAAAAUUUUAGACAUAUCAAAUAUCUUUAAUUUAUAAAUUAGCUAUUUGUAUUGUUUCUUGUUUGACUAUUUUGUUAUACCGCUUAGUUUGUUUUUUGCUCAGGUACUAGUGUUAAUCCUACUGACCUUUAAACUCUUGAUAUAUUUAGGAAGUUACCUUUUGUUGAUAUGUUUAUUAACAAACUUUUAUAUACCCAUUCCUAGAUGUCAAGUACAGUUCAGGCCACCUUAUAUUUAUUCCUCAUAAUUACCCUUGCAGGUAGGUACUAUCAUUAUCCCCAUUUUUACAGGUGAGGAAACUGAAGCACAGACAGAGUACAUAACUUUCCUCAGGUCACAGAGCUACUUAUAAUAGUCUCAGAGGCAACAUGGCCAGCAUAAAAGUAGAACAACAGAACAGAAUGAAACAUAAGAAAACAGAAACAAACAAGUAGAAGCUCAAAUAUCCACACAACUAAAAGUGGCGAUGAUAAUAAAAUCUGGCUCUGGUGACAUAAGCGGAAGUUGUUGUGUGGAACGUGCAGGAGGACUCCUUCAAAAGGAAUAUGGACAGGGAGUGCACACUUUUCCAGCCUUCUUGUCUCAUUCCUUCUUGCUGCCAG
rnacentral:lncRNA from 10 species